UACGGAGGGUGCAAACGUUGCUCGGAAUCAUUGGGCGUAAAGCGCACGUAGGCGGUCCGGCAAGUCGGGUGUGAAAGCCCUCGGCUCAACCGAGGAAGUGCAUUCGAAACUACCGGACUUGAAUACUGGAGAGGGUCGCGGAAUUCCCGGUGUAGAGGUGAAAUUCGUAGAUAUCGGGAGGAACACCGGUGGCGAAGGCGGCCAUCUGGACGGAUACUGACGCUGAGACGCGAAAGCGUGGGUAGCAAACAGG
rnacentral:rRNA from 1 species